rnacentral:misc_RNA from 1 species
UGAUGAUAGAAAUUAUUGGUAAAAAUUAUCCAAUAAAAUUAAUUUAAAACUUUUAAUUAGUAUUAAGCAAUAAUUUAACAUGGUUUGUGAAUAUUAUGUAAAGUGUUUUAGAGAUAAAUUUAAAUUUUCAAUUUUCUUAAAACAAAUCGGGCUAAGGCCCACAAGCAAACAAACCCAGCUACGAGGAGAAAGAAGACGAUGAAUUGUCUGGAACAACGCCGCGCGCCGCCGCCGCCGCCUCCGCCUCGUUUCUCCCACCUGAGAAGAUGCUUAAGUUUCCUCAUCUGAACAUCACCAACAACUCUCCCUCCAGCAAGUAACUUCCAAAGAGACCAAUAAAAACCCUCUUAACCAAAAAACCACCUUCUCCGAUGAUCUACGGGAGAGUUGACGGUCAGUGCUCCUACAGCUCCUACGCUUUCAAGGGUCAGGCGGUCAAAAAAGCCGGCUAUUGGACCCCAGAGAUGACCGUCCUCACGGCUUAAAACGGAAAUGCACCCACAUGCGGGUUUUAAUAGAGAGCAUAGCAAAUAAAGCUUCGCUGGAUAGACACAUACACAAGUUGAAGGACCCAGACCUUGGGUAGAUCUCAACCCUUGGAUGCAACAAAAGAAACUAGAUCUUAGGCAGGUUACAUGAUUCCUUCAUCAUGAACAACAAACCUGCAAACCACAAACUUCAAACCCUAAAACACUUAUGUACAGCCCCAUCCGGAGGAGGGAAAGGAAGACCCAUGUCCAGACAAGGCAUGAAGGGCCAUCCCCCGCCCAGAAGGGGUAGAAAAUGGCCGUUGUAUCCGGCCGACCAAGAGACCUCUCUCUUAGAAAUACAAAGGCCCUCUUAGAAGUAUUAGGCCCCCUUUUUUUUCUAACUCAAUGAUCUUUUGGGCUCUUUGUUUUGAUCCCAUAUCUAUUGAAAAAGAAAAUUCAAUUUAAUUAUUUGAAUAAUUGUAUAGUUGUAAUAAUUAUUUAUAAAAUCUUAAUUUAAAAAAUAAAUAGUAGAAAAUCCACUUUGGGCAGGUCAUUAGUGGGUUUCCCUUACCCUAACUGUCACCAAAACCAAUUCCCUUCUUCCUUGCUACCCCAUUUCAAUUGGUCAGCUAUAGAGAAUCAAGAAGACCUGCUUUCAUUUUCUUGAUCUUCCCCAUUGAUUUUCGCACACCUAUGGACGUUAUCAUUCAGUUGCAGCGACAGAUUGCUGAUUACAGAGCUUCUCUAUAUCGAGAGGUCAGUUUAUAUUCAUGUAUGUAUUGUUCUGAAUAUGAUCGAAUUUACUCCGUUCGUUUCUAUGGGAAGCGUGUCUGGGAAUUUCUUUUCUUUCUGAAUAAUUAGGAUGGGAUAAAAAUUACGUCUCUGGGAUAGAGGAUUUAAAAAAAAAAAAAAUUGUAUGAUAUUAUGUAGAUAUUCCUAAAAUUGAAUGAUUCUCAAGGGAAUAAUUUUGUAGAUAAAUAUUUUUCGGGUUUCUGCUGAUGGGUUUUUGUUGAUUUUGAGAAAGGGAUAUGUGGACGAUCAGUUUACUCAGCUGCAGAAGCUGCAGGACGAGAGUAGUCCUGAUUUUGUGGUGGAGGUUACUUCUCUUUUCUUUGAAGAUUGUGAGAAGCUUGUUAACAACAUGGCCAGAGCUCUGGAACCACGGGCUGUGGAUUUUAAACAGGUGGAUUCUCAUGUUCAUCAAUUGAAGGGUAGUAGUUCUAGCAUGGGUGCAGCAAGAAUUAAAAAUAUAUGCAUUGCCUUCAGAACCUAUUGCGAGUCCCAAGACCAUGAAGGGUGAGCUUGAUUUAUUACUUGUAUUUCAUCUUUUUACCCCUUAGUGCAAUGUAAAAUUCGUAUAAUUUAUUCAAUUUAUACUCAAAAAUUCUUUUGCCAUUACAAAACCUUUGUUAUAUAUUCAUUUAUGAAAAAUCAUGAAAGAAUUUGGUGUUUGUAUGGGCUACAAGCAUAGCAAUGGCCAAUUUGAUAAUUUGAUGACACAUUUACAAAUAAAUGUUUUGAGCUUCUAAAUGUGGAAAGUUGCUCAAAUGUUUUGAUACUCUGGUCUUGAAUGAAAGAAAAGUAGAGAACUUGUUUUACUAUCUGGUGAGUAAUUAGUUUUGGUAAUAUGAUGUCUUUUUAGGAUUAAACUGUUUGCUUGUGUAAGUUGAUCAUAGAAAUAGAAUGAAUGAAGUCCCUACAAAUUUCAGCCCACAUUGCAUUAUAUGAUAUGAGGAUACAGGCAAUUGUUCGGAUAUUCCUGGAUGUGAUCAUACUAGCUUUUGGCUUUUAGUUGAAUCCAAUGGUGGCUUGGCUGUGAAGGAAUUUAAUUAAUAAAAGAAUGUUGGUGCAGGUGUUUGAGAUGCCUUCAACAAGUGAAUCAUGAGUAUUCUCAAUUGAAGAUCAAACUUCAAACUUUAUUCAGGGUAAGUUAAACAAAAAACCUAUGUCAAAGGUGGCUGGCAGUCCUACAAAAAGGUUAUGAUCAUCCAGGGAAGAAUGCCCAUAUAUUUUACGGGUGUAUCUUAUUGGAAAAUAUCACUUAUUGUUAAACACGUCUCAAGAAAACUCUGAAACUCUGUCUGUCUAUCUGCUACGGCACUUCUAAACCUCACUUGAUUAAGCUUCCAGUGUCUCAUUCUGUACUGAGAAAAGAAUUUUGGAAAAUUAUCUUCACACUCUCACUCUUUGAAUUGCUUCUCUGGUCAAUCACUGGCUUAUGUGUUACUAGUUUGGCACUUUGUUGCUAGGUGUGCCUUUGGUGUAAGGCACUUGCCUAGUGCCUCCACAAGGUUAAGGUGGGUGACUUCUAACAGGCACAUACUUCAUAGCUUAAGCAUGUAGCCCAAUGCUGAAGAAAGGUGCACAUCACAAAUCUUCACCUCUGGUGAGCUCUUUCGCCAGCAAACGCCACAAUCACUAGACUUGGCAUCUCUUAAUCUAUCAGAUCCAGCAUUGACAAACUGGAACAUUGGCGGAAUCCUCCUGGACUCCACUGCCAGAGUUGCCAGCUGAUAAUCCUUCCAUUUCCAGCAUCCACAUGCCUCAAAUCUAUCCCCUCCUUUGGUCUUCUCUGUUACUCUCUCCCUUGGCUGCUCUAUUUAUGUUCUGUCUGUUUGUCUCCCCUUUUUCUGGCUCUGUUUCUUUUUCCCCGCUUAAAGAAUAAUGCUGACAAACAUUUAGCUCUCGUUAUACUCCAUUUGUUAUCUAUAGAUAGGUUUGAUUUAUUGUCCAUGUGUUUUUUUUUUCUUGGUAGUUAGAUUGUUAACUAUAGGUUGAUGUUUUGAAGAUUGUUAAUUUUUGUCAAUUCAUUAAAUUGAUUUUAUUGAAUUUUUAUGAAUAUUAAGUGUUAAUUUUUAUUUUUUGCCAAAUUUUAUUUUUCCAUGCCGGGCAGUGUCUUUACUCCUAUGUGCAUUAUUGAGCACUUUUAACAACUAUGGUUUGGCAUUUUCCCACCUCAAAUUUUGUUUCUCAGUUUCUUUUCUUCCAUUCUCUCUGUUUGACCACUGCAGCUGGAGCAACAGAUUGUCGCAGCUGGUGGAACAAUUCCUGUGCUUCAAUGAGUACGAUUGAUUUUAUCCUGUACCAACAAAAGAUUGAAGGAUUAAUGUUAUAGAUACUCUUGUAGCAGCGGAAGGUUUGAGCUUGAGCUACUUUGACGUCCUGAAGCCUUGUAUGUUGGGGAGCCACAAUGUGAAUAAAAAUUUCUAUAACUGCUUCUUAAACAUAUAUAAUUUGGUUUGCCUUUUUGGUAGUCAAAAUUUGCAUGUACCUGAUUUUUUCUUAUUUUAUCCUCUAUUGUCUCUAGGGACAUCACCUUUUAAUACAAUCCAUAAUGUGGAACCCAGUAAAUGUGCAUGACAUAUGAAUUUUGUAUAGAGAUGAUAUUUUCCAUGUCGACCAUUGCUUUUAUAUUGCCAAUCACAUGCUCAUUCCUGUAACUGUUGCUACCAGUGCUUAGACCAGAUCAAUGGCUGGUUUGAAAAUAAUACCAAGUUUUUG